GUGCUCCCUUCGGCAGCACAUAUACUAAAAUUAGAACAACACAGCGAUUAGCAUGGUUGCUGUGCAAGAAUGACAUGUAAAUCUGUGAACUGUCCCAAAGAGAA